GACGAACGCUGGCGGCGUGCUUAACACAUGCAAGUCGAACGGAAAGGCCCUGCUUUUGCGGGGUGCUCGAGUGCCGAACGGGUGAGUAACACGUGAGUAACCUGUCCUUGACUUUGGGAUAACUUCAGGAAACUGGGGCUAUUACCGGAUAGGAGCUCCUGCUGCAUGGUGGUGGUUGGAAAGAUUCGGCGGUUGGGGCUGGACUCGAAGCUUAUCAGCUUGUUGGUGGAGUAGUGGCUUACCAAGGCUUUGACGGGUAGCCGGCCUGAGAGGGGGAACGGCCACAUUGGGACUGAGGUAGGGCCCAGACUCCUACGGGAGGCAACAGGGGGAAGUAUUGCGCAAUGGGCGGAAGCCUGAGGCAGCAACGCCGCGUGCGGGAUGACGGCCUUCGGGUUGUAAACAGCUUUCGCCUGUGACGAAGAGUGAGUGACGGUAAUGGGUAAAGAAGCACCGACUAACUACGUG
rnacentral:rRNA from 1 species